rnacentral:rRNA from 1 species
ACGGCCAUACCACAUUGAAAACACCGGUUCUCGUCCGAUCACCGAAGUUAAGCAAUGUCGGGCCUGGUCAGUACUUGGGAGGGUGACCACCUGGGAAAACCGGGUACUGUAGGCU